rnacentral:rRNA from 1 species
AUUGAACGCUUGCGGCAGGCAGAACACAUGCAAGUCGAACGAGUGGCGGACGGGUGUGUAAUGUCUGGGAAACUGCCUGAUGGAGGGGGAUAACUACUGGACACGGUAGCUAAUACCGCAUACCAUCAGAUGUGCCCAGAUGGGAUUAGCUUGUUGGUGGGGUAACGGCUCACCAAGGCGACGAUCCCUAGCUGGUCUGAGAGGAUGACCAGCCACACUGGGACUGAGACACGGUCAAGACCCCUACGGGAGGCAGCAGUGGGGAAUAUUGCACAACGGUCGCAAGCCUGAUGCAGCCAUGCCGGAUGAUUGAAUAAGGCCUUCGGUUUGGAAAGCUAUUUCAGCGGGGAGGCGUUACCCGCAGAAGAUGCUCCGGCUAACUCCGUGCCAGCCGCCGCGGUAAUAC